rnacentral:rRNA from 1 species
ACCAGACUCCUACGGGAGGCAGCAGUGAGGAAUAUUGGUCAAUGGGCGGGAGCCUGAACCAGCCAUGCCGCGUGAAGGCGAGUGCCCUACGGGCGUUAAACUUCUUUUGUGCGGGAGCAAUAAGGGCCACGCGUGGCCCGAUGAGAGUACCGCACGAAUAAGCAUCGGCUAACUCCGUGCCAGCAGCCGCGGUAAUACGGGGGAUGCGAGCGUUAUCCGGAUUUAUUGGGUUUAAAGGGUGCGUAGGCGGCGCUUCAGGUCAGCGGUGAAAUACCGGGGCUCAACCCCGGGGCUGCCGUUGAAACUGACGCCCUUGAGUGAGUGAGAAGUAAGCGGAAUGCGUGGUGUAGCGGUGAAAUGCAUAGAUAUAACGCAGAACGCCGAUUGCGAAGGCAGCAUACCGGCGGCGAUCUGACGCUGAGGCACGAAAGCGUGGGGAUCGAACAGGAUUAGAUACCCGAGUAGGA